GACGAACGCUGGCGGCGUGCUUAACACAUGCAAGUCGAACGGAAAGGCCCUGCUUUUGUGGGGUGCUCGAGUGGCGAACGGGUGAGUAACACGUGAGUAACCUGCCCUUGACUUUGGGAUAACUUCAGGAAACUGGGGCUAAUACCGGAUAGGAGCUCCUGCUGCAUGGUGGGGGUUGGAAAGUUUCGGCGGUUGGGGAUGGACUCGCGGCUUAUCAGCUUGUUGGUGGGGUAGUGGCUUACCAAGGCUUUGACGGGUAGCCGGCCUGAGAGGGUGACCGGCCACAUUGGGACUGAGAUACGGCCCAGACGCCUACGGGAGGCAGCAGUGGGGAAUAUUGCACAAUGGGCGGAAGCCUGGUGCAGCAACGCCGCGUGCGGGAUGACGGCCUUCGGGUUGUAAACCGCUUUCGCCUGUGACGAAGCGUGAGUGACGGUAAUGGGUAAAGAAGCACCGGCUAACUACGG
rnacentral:rRNA from 1 species